rnacentral:rRNA from 1 species
GACGUAGGGUGCGAGCGUUGUCCGGAUUUAUUGGGCGUAAAGAGCGUGUAGGCGGCCAUUCAGGUCAGCUGUGAAAACUCGAGGCUCAACCUCGAGACGGCGGUUGAAACCGUUUGGCUAGAGUCCGGAAGAGGAGAGUGGAAUUCCCGGUGUAGCGGUGAAAUGCGUAGAGAUCGGGAGGAACACCAGUGGCGAAGGCGACUACCUGGACCAGCACUGACACUGAGGCACGAAAGCCAGGGUAGCGAAUGGG